CUUAAUUUAAUUAAUUAAUAAAUAAAAGUAAACAAUAAGCCAAAUAACUAAAAUAAACUAUUCAAAACUGAGUGCUAUUGCAUGAUGCAAAUGUUGUUUCCGAAAAUAUCAAGAGUUUACUAUUUUAAACUAUGUGUAAUCCUAAAAUAUCCAUUUUUAAUUAUUCAAAAUUAAUAAAUGACAGAGCUAUUCCAGGAUUGAUCAUACCCAUAGCAUCCUUUAUGCAGCAGAUUUGGGAAAUGUUUAAGGUUUGGGAUCUAAGAAUCCAGAUGGGAUUCUUUAUGGAAAAAAGUCUCUGUAAUUAUGCUACAAUUGUCGAUCUGGUUAUUUUAUAAAUUUUCUACAUAAUUUAUAAACUACCAUUUCUCCAGUAUGUUAAUUUUAUUUAGUUUGUUAUAAGAAAAGGUGCAGGGAAACUUUCAAUCAACCAUUUUAAUCAUUCAUUUAUUAUAUAAUACUUUUAUUCAUAAAAAUAUUACUAAAGAAUAUACAUAACAAAAGUCCAUGAAGAUAGCCCAAACAAACACAAUAGUACAAAUACAACGAAAGCUGAAGAAAGUGCCAAGUGCAUUGAAAACAUUUCUGAAAAUAGUGUUUGAGUGAUAAAGGAUUUGUUUAUUACUAAAGAAUAUACAUACACAUUUUUUAUAUUACUUUACAAAUUUUAUAGAUUCCAUUAUACUGCCUUAUUCACACUGAUAUACAAACACAUAAAUACUGAAACGCUGUUGGCGGUUGUG
rnacentral:lncRNA from 1 species